CUAGCUUACUUAAACACUUCUAAGGAAUGUUUUUCCUCCUCUUUCCAUCCUCUCAACUGUCCUGUUACCUGUGGCCAUCCCUAAUAACACAGUUUGUACAUCAUCCCUCUUUUAGCACAAGGCCUCCCACACUAGGGA